rnacentral:rRNA from 1 species
AACGAACGUCUCGGCGGGCGAUGCCUAACACAUGCAAGUCGAACGAGACCUUCGGGGUCUAGUGGACGGCACGGGUGCGUAACGCGUGGGAAUCUGCCCUUGGGUUCGGAAUAACUCGCCGAAAGGCGUGCUAAUACCGGAUGAUGUCGUAAGACCAAAGAUUUAUCGCCCAGGGAUGAGCCCGCGUAAGAUUAGGUAGUUGGUGAGGUAAAGGCUCACCAAGCCGACGAUCUUUAGCUGGUCUGAGAGGAUGAUCAGCCACAUUGGAACUGAGACACGGUCCAG